CUCACAGUUCUGUGGACUGGGAAGUCCAAGAUCAAACCUCUGGCAGAUCUGGUAUCAGGAAUUCUGGCUAAGGACAUCACAUCAGAUAUGAAGUAACGGUUCAAAAAAUGACAAUGAGAAAGACAAACCCGCCAUGAUUGUAAAUGCCUAAGUGCUCACAUUAUCCUUCAUGAACCACACGCUUCAAGUAGUGAUCAAGCACAGACAGCCGUCCUUCUCACAGGCAAUGUGGCGUAAAGUAAGGAGUCCCAUCUUUGUGACAUGCCAUAUUUCACUGCCAGCAGGAGAGAAUUUUUUGUUGUUGCCAAAGUCAGUCAGUAGAUAAUGAUCUAGUAUCUCAAAUGUGUCAUUUUUCUGAAGCAACUAUCAUAGUUUCUAUUGGUCUGGCAAAUCAACAAUGCCUUGUUCACAUUGAAACAUUAACUGUACAAUGGAAAGAACGUGUUGUUGACAACAAUGCCACUUGUAUUAGGAUCUUGAAAACAAAACCCAAAGAGAAAGGUAUGAUAAGUGUUCUGUUCUCUGCAGUGGAGAUGAUGAUGCCCUUGUGUAAUGAUAGACUGAUGUCUCUAAGAGGAAAAUAACAAAAAUGAACUGCUUUCUAGGUCUGACAAAGGAUAGAUCACUAGAAAUAAAUUUUAAGAAUUGGUUAGGAAAAAAAAAAACUGUGGAGACCUCGUAUAUCUGCACAAAAGUCAGGUACCCUUUUGAAAAUUGGGGAAAAUGGUAAAAAACAAUUACUGUCCCAUGUGCCUAAUUGUUACCUCAAACGCUCAUUUUCUUAUAAAGAAACAUCUGUGCAUUGUCAACAACUUGUAAAAUACAGAUGGACAAAAAAAGGAUCAUUAAAUAAUCUGUUAUCCCACUGCCUACUUUUGCACCAGCAUAUCACAUUUUCUGCAAAGAAACUACUGUGAGCUUUCUAAAUUGUGAAUCUACUCAGAGCUCCCUAAUGGCUCCUGGACACACCUAAAAUAAAGUUUAAAUUUCCAUGCCAACACAGCCAGGACAACCUGGUCUCAGGCAUUCUCUCUUCUUCCUAAAUUUUCCACCAUUCUCCCGCUAGCUCCUUUUGCUCUAGCCAAGAAUUGAAUGGAGAUUUAUCAAACAUGUCAAGCACAUUCCUAGCAUGGGACAUUUUUGGCUGCUUCCUGAUUGGAAUAUUCUUCACCCAGAUACAGCCUUUGCUGUGCACAUCACUCAGAAUUCUGCCCAAACAUCGUCCCUUCAGGGGCCCUCCCUGACAACCCACCCAAAGCAACACCCCUCCCAUGACACCCUGUCCUUCACCCUGUUACUUUGUAACCACUGCACCACUUACCAACUUUGUAUUGCUGUUCACUUGUUGAUCUCCAUGUUGUAUAAAUCCACUAACAUGUAAGCUGCUUGAGGAUAGGAACUUGAUGUUUUGUACAUCAGAUGCAUCCCCAGUGCUGAUCAAGUUCUAUACCUAUUGUGUGCUUCAAACAAUAUUUAUUGAAUAAAUGAAUACCCAAGGUUAA